UUUCAGACAGAUAUGCUUAUGAAUUGUACUCUGUACAUAUUGCAUGUAUUCAUCAGGUAUGAAAGGCUGAUCACCUUCAUUACCAGUCAGUUCAGAUAUAAUUGUUAUGUUCAUUUUCAAUGUUCAUUCAGCUUUGAAAUUUUGUUCAUGCUAAUUCACAACUACAUUGUGAAGGAUAGCCAGCUUAUUAUUCAAACUCUUUCAAUCAUGAUAUAUCUUUACCUUUUUUUUUUUAAACUUGCUGGGCAACUUUCAUGCUCACCCUUGCUAUAUCAUGAUAAAACAUUGCAGAUAAGGCGAAUACGGCCAGAUACAGGAAAAGGAUAAUGCCAAGUUCAGCUUGGGAUAA
rnacentral:lncRNA from 1 species